CCUACGGGGGCUGCAGUGGGGAAUAUUGGACAAUGGGGGGAACCCUGAUCCAGCCAUGCCGCGUGUGUGAAGAAGGCCCUCGGGUUGUAAAGCACUUUCAGUGAGGAAGAACGCCUGGUGGUUAAUACCCAUCAGGAAAGACAUCACUCACAGAAGAAGCACCGGCUAACUCCGUGCCAGCAGCCGCGGUAAUACGGAGGGUGCGAGCGUUAAUCGGAAUUACUGGGCGUAAAGCGCGCGUAGGUGGCUUGAUAAGCCGGUUGUGAAAGCCCCGGGCUCAACCUGGGAACGGCAUCCGGAACUGUCAAGCUAGAGUGCAGGAGAGGAAGGUAGAAUUCCCGGUGUAGCGGUGAAAUGCGUAGAGAUCGGGAGGAAUACCAGUGGCGAAGGCGGCAUUCUGGACUGACACUGACACUGAGGUGCGAAAGCGUGGGUAGCAAACAGGAUUAGAUACCCUAGUAGUC
rnacentral:rRNA from 1 species